rfam:Larimichthys crocea isolate SSNF unplaced genomic scaffold scaffold740, whole genome shotgun sequence.
UUGUUGCACUGUUGUAAGUCGCUUUGGAUAAAAGUGUCAGCUAAAUGACUGAAU